rnacentral:rRNA from 1 species
UACGUAGGGGGCAAGCGUUGUCCGGAAUUAUUGGGCGUAAAGAGCGCGCAGGCGGUAUGACAAGUCAGAUGUGAAAGAGGCCGGCUUAACCGGCAAGGGUCAUUUGAAACUGUCAGACUAGAGUGCAGCAGAGGAUAGUGGAAUUCCCGGUGUAGUGGUGAAAUGCGUAGAUAUCGGGAGGAACACCAGUGGCGAAGGCGACUUUCUGGGCUGCAACUGACGCUGAGGCGCGAAGGCUAGGGUACCAAACAGG